rnacentral:rRNA from 1 species
GACGAACGCUGGCGGCGUGCUUAAAACAUGCAAGUCGAACGGGGUCCAUCCUUCGGGAGAAGACCUAGUGGCGAACGGGUGAGUAACACGUGAACAAUCUGUCCCAAAGACGGGGAUAAGCGAGGGAAACUUCGUCUAAUACCCGAUGUCCUCUUCGAGUCCUAUGUCUUGAUGAGGAAAUGAUUUAUCGCUUUGGGAGGAGUUCGCGGCCUAUCAGCUUGUUGGUGGGGUAACGGCCUACCAAGGCUUCGACGGGUAGCUGGUCUGAGAGGAUGAU